AGACACUUAACUUACUGAGCCACCCAGGUGCUCCUAGGCAUCCAAUUUUAAAGGCUCUGCAAACUGAUAGUCUCAUGGGAAAGACAAGUCAGAAAACCAACUAGAAGUUGUAGAGAAAUUGAAGAGAAGGCAGUGGUAGCAAAUGGGAAUGGGAGCCUAAGAUGACUAGGAGAUACCAUUCAGAUACCAUUCAGAUGACCUGAAGGAAAAAAAAAAACAAAAAUGCAAUGAACCAUGGAAUGGCUAUUUCAAGUGGAAGAACCAGCAUGUGCAAAGGCUGUAAGACUGGAGAAAAUUAAUGUACUUAAGAAGGAAGAAAUGGCAAGAUAAAUAAUCCAGUAUAAUAAUCUUCCCAGAAUAACAAUAACAUGUUUUCUUCGGACCUUGUUCAGGUCCUCACUAAACAGUCAUGUCAAUAAACUGAGAAACAAGGA